CAUUUCUUCCCUGCUCUAUAAACCCCGAAUUUUAGCCAGUUGAGGAGACAGAUUGGAGACUGCUCUCUCGUCCUCAUCAGCUGCAGCACCCAGGAAGCCAGAGUUGAAGUGGAUGCCCCCAGCUCCCCUCCACUGUCCCCACCCAUGGGGUGAGGUGGGGCUGGUCCUCCUGCCCAAGACCCCUCAAGAUCCCUCGCUUCUGCCAUGUGCUGCUCCCAUCAUGUGACCUGCACCUCUAACACACCCUUCCCAUAUCUCCCAUUGCUCUCUGUAAAACAGCCUGGGCCAGCAGCCUCUGGCCAGUCCACUUCACUCCUCAGCACCCCUCAGGAAAAUCCAGGCCCCCACCCUCCAGCCCACUCCUCUCACCCGUGGACUCUCU
rnacentral:lncRNA from 10 species